UAAAAUAAUUAAGGGCACACAAAGGAUGCCUAGGUAGUAAGAGCCGAUGAAGGACGUGGUAAGCUGCGAUAAGCCUAGAUAAGUUGCAAUCGAACGUAAGAGUCUAGGAUUUCCGAAUGGAGCAAUCUAUUAAGAUGGAGUCUUAAUACGAAAGAGGGAACCGCGUGAACUGAAACAUCUAAGUAACGCGAGGAAAAGAAAGUAAAAACGAUACCCAAAGUAGCGGCGAGCGAAAUGGGUCAAGCCUAAACCUUAAAUAUGUCAAGGAUACAGCCGUUGUAUUUAAGGGGUUGAGGGACAGAGUAGUGAAGAACUGUAAGAUAUUCAAUAUAGUGUAUUGAUGAAUUGGAAUUGUCUGGAAAGGCGAACCGUAGAAGGUGAAAGUCCUGUACAAGUAAAUCCUUACACAUAUAACUCUGCUCCCAAGUAACAUGGAACACGAGGAAUUCUGUGUGAAUCUGUGAGGACCAUAUCUCAUAAGGCUAAAUACUCUUACUAACCGAUAGCGCAUAGUACCGUGAGGGAAAGGUGAAAAGAACCCCUGGAGGGGAGUGAAAUAGAACCUGAAAUUGUGUGCUUACAAGCGGUCAGAGCCAGUAAUGGUGAUGGCGUGCCUUUUGGAGAAUGAUCCUGCGAGUUACGUUAAACGGCGAGGUUAAGUAUAACGGAGCCGAAGGGAAACCAAGUCUUAAUAGGGCGAUUUAGUCGUUUGGCGUAGACGCGAAACCUGGUGAUCUAAACCUGUCCAGGAUGAAGCUGUGGUAAGACACAGUGGAGGUCCUAACCCACCGCCGUUGAAAAGUUGGGGGAUGAGGUAGGUUUAGGGGUGAAAAGCCAAUCGAACCAGGAGAUAGCUCGUUCUCUCCGAAAUGCAUCUAGGUGCAGCCUUGAGUGUUCAAUUAUGGGGGUAGAGCACUGAAUGAUCUAGGGGGCGUAUUGCUUACUGAAAUCAAUCAAACUCCGAAUACCAUAAUUUAUAGCUCAGGAGUGAGACUAUGGGAGUUAACUUCCAUUGUCAAAAGGGAAACAACCCAGACCACCAGCUAAGGUCCCUAAUUAUAACUAAGUGGGAAAGGAGGUGGAGAUUCACAAACAACUAGGAGGUUGGCUUAGAAGCAGCCAUACCUUUAAAGAGUGCGUAAUAGCUCACUAGUCGAGAGUCUCUGCGCCGACAAUGUAACGGGGCUAAGUUAUAAACCGAAGCUGUGGAAUCCGUAAGGAUUGGUAGGAGAGCGUUCUGUAGGCCGUUGAAGGAGAAGGGUAACCGACUUUGGAGGUAUCAGAAGUGAGAAUGCAGGAAUAAGUAGCGAGAAAGGGGGCGAGAAUCCCCCUCGCCGGAAGACCAAGGUUUUCAGGGUAAAGCUUGUCUUCCCUGAGUAAGCCGGGACCUAAGCCCAGGCUAUAAUGCGUAGGCGAAUGGAAAACAGAUUAAUAUUUCUGUGCCAGUCAUAUAUUGUGAUGGAGGGACGCAGAAGGGUAUGCGCGCGGACGAACGGAAGUGUCCGUAGAAGUAUGUAGGGUGACUUAGUAGGUAAAUCCAUUAAGUUAUAUCUGAGGUAUGAUAUACAGUCGUAAGAUGAAUGCGCAAAUCCCACGCUGCCAAGAAAAGCUUCUAACGUUAAUAUUUGACUGCCCGUACUGUAAACCGACACAGGUGGUCAGGAUGAGAAAUCUAAGGCGGACAGGCUAACUCUCGUUAAGGAACUCUGCAAAAUAACCUCGUAACUUCGGGAGAAGAGGAGCCCUUGAGGGUCAGUAUCCACGCGAUACAAAGCACUCGAGGGUCGCAGUGAAGAGGCUCAAGCAACUGUUUAACAAAAACACAGGUCUAUGCUAAGCUGGAAGGCGAUGUAUAUGGGCUGACACCUGCCCAGUGCUGGAAGGUUAAGAGGAGGAGUGAGAGCUCCGAAUUGAAGCCCCAGUGAACGGCGGCCGUAACUAUAACGGUCCUAAGGUAGCGAAAUUCCUUGUCGGGUAAG
rnacentral:rRNA from 1 species